UGACGCUGGCGGUAGGCUUAACACAUGCAAGUCGUGCGAGAAAGUAUCUUCGGAUAUGAGUAGAGCGGCGGACGGGUGAGUAACGCGUAGGAAUCUACCUAGUAGAAGGGGAUAGCCCGGGGAAACCCGGAUUAAUACCGUAUACCUCCUUUGGGAGAAAGAAGGCCUCUCUUUAGAAGCUUUCGCUACUAGAUGAGCCUGCGUAAGAUUAGCUUGUUGGUGAGGUAAAGGCUCACCAAGGCGACGAUCUUUAGCUGGUCUGAGAGGACGAUCAGCCACAUUGGGACUGAGACACGGCCCAGACUCCUACGGGAGGCAGCAGUGGGGAAUAUUGGACAAUGGGCGCAAGCCUGAUCCAGCCAUACCGCGUGUGUGAAGAAGGCCUUCGGGUUGUAAAGCACUUUAAGCAGGGAGAAAAAGUUAUAAGUUAAUACCUUAUAACCCUGAUGUUACCUGCAGAAUAAGCACCGGCUAAUUCCGUGCCAGCAGCCGCGGUAAUACGGAAGGUGCAAGCGUUAAUCGGAAUUACUGGGCGUAAAGCGCGCGUAGGUGGUUUGUUAAGUUGGAUGUGAAAGCCCUGGGCUCAACCUAGGAACUGCAUCCAAAACUAACUCACUAGAGUACGAUAGAGGGAGGUAGAAUUCAUAGUGUAGCGGUGGAAUGCGUAGAUAUUAUGAAGAAUACCAGUGGCGAAGGCGGCCUCCUGGAUCUGUACUGACACUGAGGUGCGAAAGCGUGGGUAGCGAACAGGAUUAGAUACCCUGGUAGUCCACGCCGUAAACGAUGACAACUAGCUGU
rnacentral:rRNA from 1 species